GGAGGGUAUAGCUCAGUGGUAGAGCGUGUGCUUAGCAUGCACAAGGACCUGGGUUCAAUCCCCAGUCCCUCCA
rnacentral:tRNA from 1 species